rnacentral:rRNA from 1 species
AUUGAACGCUGGCGGCAGGCCUAACACAUGCAAGUCGAACGAGUGGCGGACGGGUGAGUAAUGUCUGGGAAACUGCCUGAUGGAGGGGGAUAACUACUGGAAACGGUAGCUAAUACCGCAUACCAUCAGAUGUGCCCAGAUGGGAUUAGCUAGGUGGUGGGGUAACGGCUCACCACGGCGACGAUCCCUAGCUGGUCUGAGAGGAUGACCAGCCACACUGGAACGGAGACCCGCUCCCGACUCCUACUGGAGGCAGCAGUGGGGAAUAUUGCACAAUGGGCGCAAUCCUUAUUCAGCCAUGCCGCGUGUAUGAAGCAGGCCUUCGGGUUGUAAAGUACUUUCAGCGGGGAGGCGUUACCCGCAGAAGAAGCACCGGCUAACUCCGUGCCAGCAGCCGCGGUAAUUC